rnacentral:rRNA from 1 species
UACGUAGGGUGCAAGCGUUAAUCGGAAUUAUUGGGCGUAAAGAGCUCGUAGGCGGUUUGUCGCGUCUGCUGUGAAAACUGGGGGCUCAACCCCCAGCCUGCAGUGGGUACGGGCAGACUAGAGUGCGGUAGGGGAGAUUGGAAUUCCUGGUGUAGCGGUGGAAUGCGCAGAUAUCAGGAGGAACACCGAUGGCGAAGGCAGAUCUCUGGGCCGUAACUGACGCUGCGGAGCGAAAGCAUGGGGAGCGAACAGG